GCAAGAUACCACGGGCGCACGGCGGAUGCCUUGGCACAGGGAGCCGAUGAAGGACGCGGCAAGCUGCGAUAAUCCCCGGCGAGGAGCACACAUCCUUCGACCCGGGGGUCUCCGAAUGGGCGAACCCAUGCACAGCAGUGUGCAUAUCCCCCCGCUGAACACAUAGGCGGGGGGAGGACAACCCGGGGAACUGAAACAUCUAAGUACCCGGAGGAGAGGAAAUCAAUCUCGAGACUCCCCGAGUAGCGGCGAGCGAAAGGGGACCGAUGGCCAAACCGUCGAGCGGGCAUACCCGGCAGGGGUUCCGCCGACGGGGUUGAAGGGCCGCGCAUCCGGGGGCUGCCGCCCCCGGGCGCAGGUCCGGCUGGGGAGCGGAACGGCAUGGGAGGGCCGGCCGCAGCGGGUGACAGCCCCGUACGCGAACCCAGACCGGACGGCGCGACGCGGUCCCUGAGUAGGGCCGGGCACGUGAAACCCGGUCCGAACCUGGGUGGACCACCAUCCAAGCCUGAGUACUACCCUGUGACCGAUAGCGCACCAGUACCGUGAGGGAAAGGUGAAAAGCACCCCGGGAGGGGAGUGAAACAGUACCUGAAACCGUGCGCCCACGAGCAGUCGGAGCACCUUUAUGGUGUGACGGCGUGCCUUUUGUAGAAUGAGCCAGCGAGUCGCUGGCGCGGGGCGAGGUUAACCGAAAGGGAGCCGGAGCGAAAGCGAGCCUUAACAGGGCGACUUGAGUCCCGCGCCGCGGACGCGAAGCCGGGUGAGCUAUCCGUGGGCAGGCUGAAGCGGGGGUAAGACCCCGUGGAGGGCCGAACGCACGUCGGUUGAAAACGGCGGCGAUGACCUGCGGAUAGGGGUGAAAGGCCAAUCAAACCCGGAGAUAUCUCGUUCUCCCCGAAAUAGCUUUAGGGCUAGCGUCGCGCGUUCACCGCCGGAGGUAGAGCACCGGAUGGACGAGGGGGCUUCGCCGCCUACCGAAUCCAACCGAACUCCGAAUGCCGGCGGCCCAGAGCGCGGCAGUCAGAGCAUGUGGGCUAAGCUGUGUGCUCGAGAGGGAAACAGCCCGGACCGCCCGCUAAGGUCCCCAAGUUCCAGCCGAGUGGCAAAGGAUGUGCGUCCGCCCAGACAACCAGGAUGUUGGCUUAGAAGCAGCCAUCCAUUCAAAGAGUGCGUAACAGCUCACUGGUCGAGUGGACAUGCGCCGACAAUACACGGGGCUAAGCUGGACACCGAAGCGGCGGGAUUUUAAUUCAUUAGAAUCGGUAGGGGAGCUUCCCAUGGGCGGAGAAGCCGGAGGGCGACCGACGGUGGAGCGCAUGGGAGUGAGAAUGCUGGCAUGAGUAGCGAGAGACGAGAGAGUAACUCGUCCGCCGUGAACCCGAGGUUUCCUGGGCAAGGCUAAUCCUCCCAGGGUCAGUCGGGGGCUAAGGCGAGGCCGGGAGGCGUAGCCGACGCGCAGCAGGCAGACAUUCCUGCACCGCGCACGCGGCGCUACGACCGACGGGGCGACGGAUGGGGGUGGCUCGGCGGGGUUCUGGACGUCCCCGUGAUGGAGCGCGGCCCGCGGACCAGGGAAAUCCGGUCCGCAUCGAGGGCGAGGCUCCGGACGAAGCGACUGAGCGAAGCGAGUGAGCCCGAGGUCCCUAGAAAAACCCCUAGGCAGGCGCGUGCGCGCCCGUACCGCAAACCGACACAGGUGGGUGGGUAGAACAUACCGAGGCGAUCGGGUCAACCAUGGUCAAGGAACUCGGCACAAUGGCCCCGUAACUUCGGGAGAAGGGGUGCCCGCGCGUACGUGAACCGGCUCGCCCGGGGAGCGGAGGCGGGCCGCAGUGGAGAGGCCCAAGCGACUGUUUACCAAAAACACAGGACUCUGCAGAAGCCGCAAGGCGACGUAUAGGGUCUGACGCCUGCCCGGUGCCGGAAGGUCACGCGGAGGAGUUAGCUUUCGAGCGAAGCCCCGAAGCCAAGCCCCGGUAAACGGCGGCCGUAACUAUAACGGUCCUAAGGUAGCGAAAUUCCUUGUCGGGU
rnacentral:rRNA from 1 species